ACGUAGGGGGCGAGCGUUAUCCGGAUUCAUUGGGCGUAAAGCGCGCGUAGGCGGCCCGGCAGGCCGGGGGUCGAAGCGGGGGGCUCAACCCCCCGAAGCCCCCGGAACCUCCGCGGCUUGGGUCCGGUAGGGGAGGGUGGAACACCCGGUGUAGCGGUGGAAUGCGCAGACAUCGCGUGGAACACCGGUGGCGAAGGCGGCCCUCUCGGCCGCGACCGACGCUGAGGCGCGAAAGCUGGGGGAGCGAACAG
rnacentral:rRNA from 1 species